rnacentral:rRNA from 1 species
AUGCAUGUCUAUGCAGAAGCCGCACUAUGGCAAAGCCGCGAAAAGCUCAUUACAACAGCCGUUGUUUCUUGGAUCUCUGAACUACUUGGAUAACUGUGGUAAUUCUAGAGCUAAUACACGCAAUAAAGCUCUGACCUCACGGGACGAGCGCAUUUAUUAGAAUAAAACCAAUCAGGCUCUGCCUGUAUCUUGGUGACUCUGAAUAACUCUGCAGAUCGCACGGUCUUGCACUGGCGAUGUAUCCUUCAAGUGUCUGCCUUAUCAACUGUCGAUGGUAGUUUAUGUGCCUACCAUGGUUUUAACGGGUAACGGAGAAUUAGGGUUUGUUUCCGGAGAGGGAGCCUUAGAAACGGCUACCACAUCCAAGGAAGGCAGCAGGCGCGCAAAUUACCCACUCUCAGCUCGAGGAGGUAGUGACGAAAAAUAACGAGACAAAACUCUUUGAGUUUUGUUAUCGGAAUGAGAACAAUAUAAAUCCUUUAACGAGGAUCUAGCGGAGGGCAAGUCUGGUGCCAGCAGCCGCGGUAAUUCCAGCUCCGCCAGUGUAUAUCUAUGUUGCUGCGGUUAAAAAGCUCGUAGUUGGAUCUGCGCACUCGGAAUCGGUUGGCGCACUGCGCUUUAACUGGUCUCUGGUGCUUUUUGGCCGGUUUUCCCUUAAUGCUCUUCAUCGGGUGUUCUGGGUGGCUGGCAGGUUUACUUUGAAAAAAUUAGAGUGCUCAAUACAGGCAAAUUUGCCUUGAAUACUGUUGCAUGGAAUAAUAGAAUAGGACCUCGGUUCUGUUUUGUUGGUUUUGGGAGCUCGAGGUAAUGAUUAAGAGGGACAGACGGGGGCAUUCGUAUUGUGACGCUAGAGGUGAAAUUCUUGGAUCGUUGCAAGACGGACGACUGCGAAAGCAUGCCC